AGAUGAAGAGAGUGCAAAAACCGGUGAAGGCAAGGUAGGGAAAGAAAAUGCUGAGAUAGAAAAAUCUGAUACCCAGAAUUUAGAGCCGCCUACCGAGGAUGGGGAUGAUGCAAAAGCAUCCCAAGACUUGCCAAGAGAAGUUCCAGCCAAGCCUAUUCAAAACAUGAAAGAGGAUACACCAGCUUUAGUUGAAACCAGCAAAGAUGGGUCCAUAGAGGGAAAGCUGGAUGAAGCCAUUAGAGCCAUUACUGAACCAGUUAACAAAUCCCAAGGUUCUGGGUUAGAAGUAAAAGAUGAAGGAAGUGCAAAAUCUGGUGAAGGCAAGGUAGGGAAAGAAGAUGCAGAGGAGAUAGCAAAAUCUGAUGCCCUGUAUUUAGAGCCUUCUAUCAAGGAUGGGGAUGAUGCAAAAGCAUCCCAAGACUUGCCAAGAGAAGUUCCAGCCAAGCCUAUUCAGAAAAUAAAAAAAGAAAACACAAAGGAGGGGACACCAGCUUUAGUUGAAACCAGCAAAGAUGGGUUCAUAGGGGGAAAGCUGGAUGAAGCCAUUACAGCUGUCACUGAACCAGUUAACAAUUUUAAAGAUUCUGGGUUAGAAGCAAAAGAUGAAGAAAGUGCAAAAGCCAGUGAAGGUAAGGUAGGGAAAGAAAAUGUUGAGGAGAUAGCAAAAUCUGAAGCCUGGAAUUUAGAGUCUUCUACCAAGGAUGGGGAUGAUGCAAAAGCAUCCCAAGGGUUGCCAAGAGAAAUUCCAGCCAAGC
rnacentral:lncRNA from 1 species